rnacentral:lncRNA from 1 species
GGAAGGUGCAUGUUGUUGUGGUCUGGGAUGCUGCCAGGUAGCUCUAGGUCAAGAUCCACUGCAAGAUGCUAUGUGCUUGUAUGGGUACUUUCCUGCUGGACUGAGAGGAUGUUGCUGCCAGACAAGGUACAUGCCACUGCUGUUAAGCUCACCCAUGCAACCAGAGGCUCUUGCUCAAAACUGCAGUCUCCUUUGAGUCUGGAGAGGCUGGCUCCCUCCCUCGCGCAGCUGACUGACCUGGGGAACGAAGCACUUCAAAACCAGCACUUUCCUUCCCAGCUGGGUUAAAUCUGACGAGGUCUCUCACCCCCUGUGCCCGGCCACGUGGUGCAGCAGGAGGGACGUGGAGCAUCCUCUGGCAUAUGGUGGUGGCACGAAGCGUGGGUGGUAUUUUGGUUUGGAUUUUGUCUCGGGUUCCCAUUCUCCGGGGGGAUUGCUGAUGUUCAUUAGCAGCUAAUUGGUGCUGGUGAGCUGUGACUCUUUACCCCAUAGUUCUGCAGCUACUCCGGCAGCAGCAGCUGAUUCUUAAUUGCUAAGUCUGAGUGAAGCUGUGGGUUCACAGAGAUUGCCCAAGCUCUGUUAUCUGCCUUUGCCUGACAAUUACACGUAGUUUUGAUUAGUAAAAUUUUGAUGGGUUUUACUGUUCUAUUUCUUUGAUGUUGCGAGAAAGCUUUAGCUGCGCUGCUGAGCCGCUCCUGUGAAGCGUGCCAGUGUUAUUGAGGCACGAGAAAAUGGGCUGGAGCUGCUCAGAGAGGUACUUUGCAAACCAG